CCUGCACUAGAACACCCCAUGGAUUUAGGAGCCACUGGUAAGGUUAUGGCUUCCCCCACUGAAUGAAAUAAAUGGACUCAGGAAGGAAUAAAACCCAAGGUGUCCUCUUCACCAGCAUCAUUCAGAACCACCUCACUCCUCAGGGGCCACAGAAGUGCUGAAUAAAAUGAAAAGACACACGAUCCAGAUGGUGACCCUGUAAAGCCACCACCUGCUUGCAAGCCUGUCUCUGUGCUUCUGCUGAGAAACAGAAUGCCAUUUCCCUUAGUGCCUGUCUUGUAAAUAAUCACCGCUCCCCAACCAGCCAUUCCCCAAAUGACAAGAACCAUCCUGUGGCCUUCUCCGCUCCCCAGCCUGGCCUGGCCUCAUUGUGCCUUGGAACUCUGUCCUCCUGCCUCACUCAAAAGGUACAUGAUUUGUAUCUUACUCCCACAACAGCGUGAUCCGAUGUCACCACAGGCGGGGACUUUUAAUGGGGUAUUUGCACAGUGAUUUACAACUUGAGGGCAACUGAUCCUCCUGAGAAAGAAA
rnacentral:lncRNA from 1 species